rnacentral:miRNA from 1 species
AACCUCAUCAACCAGAAGGAAAUACUUCUUCUUGGUUGACGAGGUAUACCUCAUUGGCCAGAAGGAAAUCCUUCUGGUUUGUUGAUAAGGUAUACCUCAUUGGCCAGAAGGAAAUCCUUCUGUUCAGUUGAUGUGGGAUAUACCUCAUUGACCAGAAGGAUUUACUUCAGGUUGGUGAGGUU